rnacentral:lncRNA from 1 species
UUUGGUUCGAUAUUGUAGAAAGCGCUAGAACUAUAAAUACUUUAUUUCGUUGCAUACAGUUAAGAAGUGUAUCAUGAAUUUCUACCAUUUUAUACAUAGGAUGGAGUGAUUAUCCCUAUGUAGUAAAGGAAAAGAAAAACUUUAUUUUAUUAUUAUUAGAGAUCAGGUAAAUUUACAUUUGUUUAAAAUUACUCUCUUUAAGUGCUUCAGUUGGAAUUGCUGCUAAUUUGUGCAUAUUCAACUGCUGCAGUUGAGACUCGUGCAAUUGCAACCUCGUAAAUAUCCCCCCUCUUUUCACAUCUCAACUGCAGCAGCUGAAUUUAAAUGUAUUAAACUAAAUAUCGAGUUUGGAUCUACAUGCAGUUGUAACUGCAGUACAAUUGCAACUACGCACAAACAAACAGUCGUAAAAGAAUAAACAUAUAGUAAAAUAUAUAUAUAUAA